rnacentral:rRNA from 1 species
GAUGAACGCUGGCGGCGUGCCUAAUACAUGCAAGUCGAGCGAACAGACGAGGAGCUUGCUCCUCUGACGUUAGCGGCGGACGGGUGAGUAACACGUGGAUAACCUACCUAUAAGACUGGGAUAACUUCGGGAAACCGGAGCUAAUACCGGAUAAUAUAUUGAACCGCAUGGUUCAAUAGUGAAAGACGGCUUUGCUGUCACUUUUAGAUGGAUCCGCGCCGCAUUAGCUAGUUGGUAAGGUAACGGCUUACCAAGGCGACGAUGCGUAGCCGAGCUGAGAGGGUGAUCGGCCACACUGGAACUGAGACACGGUCCAGACUCCUACGGGAGGCAGCAGUAGGGAAUCUUCCGCAAUGGGCGAAAGCCUGACGGAGCAACGCCGCGUGAGUGAUGAAGGUCUUCGGAUCGUAAAACUCUGUUAUUAGGGAAGAACAAAUGUGUAAGUAACUAUGCACGUCUUGACGGUACCUAAUCAGAAAGCCACGGCUAACUACGUG